rnacentral:rRNA from 1 species
GACGAACGCUGGCGGCGUGCUUAACACAUGCAAGUCGAACGGAAAGGCCCCUUUGGGGGUACUCGAGUGGCGAACGGGUGAGUAACACGUGAGUAACCUGCCCUUGACUUCGGGAUAACUUCAGGAAACUGGGGCUAAUACCGGAUAGGAAUCCUUGCUGCAUGGUGGGGGUUGGAAAGCUUCGGCGGUUUUGGAUGGACUCGCGGCUUAUCAGCUUGUUGGUGGGGUAGUGGCUUACCAAGGCUUUGACGGGUAGCCGGCCUGAGCGGGCGACCGGCCACAUUGGGACUGAGAUACGGCCCAGACUCCUACGGGAGGCAGCAGUGGGGAAUAUUGCACAAUGGGCGGAAGCCUGAUGCAGCAACGCCGCGUGCGGGAUGACGGCCUUCGGGUUGUAAACCGCUUUCAGCAGGGGCGAAGCUUGUGGUGACGGUACCUGCAGAAGAAGCACCGGCUAACUACGUG